UGUUUUGGUGUAAAUAGGUAAUGGGACAAGUACUGGUGUGAGACAUUGUGUAACCUAAAUAAUAUAGGACCAGUAUUCAAAUUUAUUGUUAUUUACUUCAACUUCAAUAGUAUGAACUGCAUAUACGUGAUGAAUUAUGGCAAUAACGAUUAUAGGAACUGAGGAGGGGUGAAUUUGUUAAUUGGAAACGAUAAGUCGAGAGAUAAAGGAGAGAAAAGGAAAGGCAACCCUGUACGCGUUUCGACCUAACAGUCUUCUUCAGCAGGGUUUUUUAAGAGGGGUGCAGGUAGAAUUUGCAGAGGAGAAUGAAGGAGAGGUUAAGAGUUAGGAUAAGCAAUGGCACAGUAACAAAAAGGAAAGAUGGAAAGAUAGUGAGAAAUGAAAAAACUACUACAUGUUAAAAGAAAAGUUAUCCUACCAAAUGUCUUGUUAUUGCGCGACAUUCCAACACCACGCACCUUGCUGUUCAUCUUUUGUUUAGUUUGAUAAAGCAGAGUAAUAAUACAGUCCUUUCAAAUGUAGCUAACUCAAUAGUAUAGUGAGUAUGAAUGAUGUGAUGGUAGGGGUGGGGUAGGAUUUAUAUCAUAGUGUGAUCAUGUGACUAAAGGUGAUUGCAUCCUAAUAUGGUGAAGGGAGCUAAUUAGACAGGGAUGGGGAGGUAUCGCAAUAAGAGGUGAUUAGUGAUGAAUAAUAAAAUAAAUAAAUAAUUAGAUAAAUAAUUACCCCUUUACAGGGUUUAUUGUUAUAGAUUUAUGAGUAUACAUUAACCCCCCAAAAAUAUGUACAUAUAUAACAAAGCCAAGCAAGGAUGAUAAAUGGAAUGAUAUUAUAUGUCCAAUCGUUAUCUAUAGUAGGUCUUAAUUUGUCACGUGGAGUACUCAAGUUAUCCAUCAUUAUAUUUACAAAGUAUACUAUUAAAACAUGACAAGUAUGUUUCGUGUUACUUGUACAAGGAACCAAUGGUUAUAUGAAAAUAAAUAGGGACUGGGAAUAUGUUGGUGCAUUAUUUAAUAGCUGGUCAUAACUGAAAAAUUCUACAUAGGACGCGUAUGACGCCUAAGGUAUAAAAUGCAUGUUGACAUGCAUAGAGGAUUUGAAUUAGGUAUAGGAAUUGUAACUAUUGCUAUUAGC